CUAACGCCCUCAUCGGUAGAAAUUUUUCCUAUUUAUUUUUCAUUCUUUAAAUUGAUGUCAAUUAGUUUGUUGAAGUGAAUUUAUUGAGGGUCGUUAAUUUGAAGUAAUAUGCCAAGGGAAAUGCUUCCUUUCAUGAAUUUACGGAUGAAUAUAAUUCUAUACUGAAAUUCCCAAUGAUGUGACAACUUUUUUAAAUUCAGUGUAUUUAUAAUUUUCAUUUCUGUUUUGUUUGUUUGCAUUGGUGACACUGCCUACAGUCCCAGAUUAAUAUUUGAACAAGUAGCUCUUUAUAAUAAAUAAUAUGUGCUGUAUAUGUAAAACGAUUACAUGCAUAUCAACUCUUAUUUGCCUGAUUAUUUUAGUGGCUAUAAUUACUGGAGUGGUAUAUUUGGUACUUUAUUUAAAAAACAACAAUAUUAUAAAAUUUUAGAUGUUGCCAAUUGAACAUUUUUUACUGAAAUAAAAGAUGUUUUACAAAUUCUUAGUGUAAUUUUCAAGUUCCUACCUAAAUAGUAAAGAUGAUAUAAAAGGAGAAAAUGUAAUCAAAAAAUGUGGAAAAAAUAUGAUAAAUUUCAUACCUUUGUGCAUAUCACUAAUAAAUAUAUUUUAG